UACGUAGGGGGGCAAGCGUUGUCCGGAAUCAUUGGGCGUAAAAGCGCGCGUAGGCGGCCCGGUAAGUCCGUUGUGAAAGUCAAAGGCUCAACCUUUGAACGCCGAUGGAUACUGCCGGGCUAGAGUCCGGAAGAGGCGAGUGGAAUUCCUGGUGUAGCGGUGGAAUGCGCAGAUAUCAGGAGGAACACCAAUAGCGAAGGCAGCUCGCUGGGACGGUACUGACGCUGAGGCGCGAAAGCGUGGGGGAGC
rnacentral:rRNA from 1 species